GCCCGCUGCCGUGGCACCCGCCAUUUUUCCUUGCCGGAACUUCCGGCGAGGAAAAAUGGCGGGUGCCACGGCAGCGGGC